rnacentral:rRNA from 1 species
UACGGGGGGGGCAAGCGUUGUUCGGAAUUACUGGGCGUAAAGGGCUCGUAGGCGGCCAACUAAGUCAGACGUGAAAUCCCUCGGCUUAACCGGGGAACUGCGUCUGAUACUGGAUGGCUUGAGGUUGGGAGAGGGAUGCGGAAUUCCAGGUGUAGCGGUGAAAUGCGUAGAUAUCUGGAGGAACACCGGUGGCGAAGGCGGCAUCCUGGACUGGUCCUGACGCUCAGGAGCGAAAGCGUGGGGAGCGAUCCGG